GCUGGGAGUGGUGGCGCACGCCUGUAAUCCCAGCAGUUUGGGAGGCCGAGACAGGAGGAUCAAGAGUUCAAAGCCAACCUCAGCAAAAGCAAUCCCCUAAGCAACUCAGUGAGACCUGCCUCUA
rnacentral:sRNA from 1 species